GCUCAGAUUGAACGCUGGCGGCAGGCCUAACACAUGCAAGUCGAACGGUAACAGAAAGCAGCUUGCUGCUUUGCUGACGAGUGGCGGACGGGUGAGUAAUGUCUGGGAAACUGCCCGAUGGAGGGGGAUAACUACUGGAAACGGUAGCUAAUACCGCAUAACGUCGCAAGACCAAAGAGGGGGACCUUCGGGCCUCUUGCCAUCGGAUGUGCCCAGAUGGGAUUAGCUAGUAGGUGGGGUAACGGCUCACCUAGGCGACGAUCCCUAGCUGGUCUGAGAGGAUGACCAGCCACACUGGAACUGAGACACGGUCCAGACUCCUACGGGAGGCAGCAGUAGGGAAUAUUGCACAAUGGGCGCAAGCCUGAUGCAGCCAUGCCGCGUGUAUGAAGAAGGCCUUCGGGUUGUAAAGUACUUUCAGCGGGGAGGAAGGGAGUAAAGUUAAUACCUUUGCUCAUUGACGUUACCCGCAGAAGAAGCACCGGCUAACUCCGUGCCAGCAGCCGCGGUAAUACGGAGGGUGCAAGCGUUGAUCGGAAUUACUGGGCGUAAAGCGCACGCAGGCGGUUUGUUAAGUCAGAUGUGAAAUCCCCGGUCUCACCCUGGGAACUGCAUCUGAUACUGGCAAGCUUGAGUCUCGUAGAGGGGGGUAGAAUUCCAGGUGUAGCGGUGAAAUGCGUAGAGAUCUGGAGGAAUACCGGUGGCGAAGGCGGCCCCCUGGACGAAGACUGACGCUCAGGUGCGAAAGCGUGGGGAGCAAACAGGAUUAGAUACCCUGGUAGUCCACGCCGUAAACGAUGUCGACUUGGAGGUUGUGCCCUUGAGGCGUGGCUUCCGGAGCUAACGCGUUAAGUCGACCGCCUGGGGAGUACGGCCGCAAGGUUAAAACUCAAAUGAAUUGACGGGGGCCCGCACAAGCGGUGGAGCAUGUGGUUUAAUUCGAUGCAACGCGAAGAACCUUACCUGGUCUUGACAUCCACGGAAGUUUUCAGAGAUGAGAAUGUGCCUUCGGGAACCGUGAGACAGGUGCUGCAUGGCUGUCGUCAGCUCGUGUUGUGAAAUGUUGGGUUAAGUCCCGCAACGAGCGCAACCCUUAUCCUUUGUUGCCAGCGGUCCGGCCGGGAACUCAAAGGAGACUGCCAGUGAUAAACUGGAGGAAGGUGGGGAUGACGUCAAGUCAUCAUGGCCCUUACGACCAGGGCUACACACGUGCUACAAUGGCGCAUACAAAGAGAAGCGACCUCGCGAGAGCAAGCGGACCUCAUAAAGUGCGUCGUAGUCCGGAUUGGAGUCUGCAACUCGACUCCAUGAAGUCGGAAUCGCUAGUAAUCGUGGAUCAGAAUGCCACGGUGAAUACGUUCCCGGGCCUUGUACACACCGCCCGUCACACCAUGGGAGUGGGUUGCAAAAGAAGUAGGUAGCUUAACCUUCGGGAGGGCGCUUACCACUUUGUGAUU
rnacentral:rRNA from 1 species